rnacentral:misc_RNA from 1 species
GAUGAAGAACCGUAGCGAAAUGCGAUAAGUAAUGUGAAUUGCAAAUUCAGUGAAUCAUCGAGUCUUUGAACGCACAUUGCGCCCCCUGGUAUUCCGGGGGGCAUGCCUGUCCGAGCGUCAUUGCUGCCCUCAAGCACGGCUUGUGUGUUGGGCCCCGUCCUCCGAUCCCGGGGGACGGGCCCGAAAGGCAGCGGCGGCACCGCGUCCGGUCCUCGAGCGUAUGGGGCUUUGUCACCCGCUCUGUAGGCCCGGCCGGCGCUUGCCGAUCAACCCAAAUUUUUAUCCAGGUUGACCUCGGAUCAGGUAGGGAUACCCGCUGAACUUAAGCAUAUCAAUAAGCGGAGGA